rnacentral:lncRNA from 1 species
CCAGGGCUGAGUUCACGGGCUCUUUCUAAAUGGAAAUGUCUCACAUUCAGCUGUUGUCUGCCUUUGAGUCACACAGAACCACUUGCAGGAAGAACUCUAGAGAAUUUGGGAAGAAAGGGGGAGAGGACAGACAAAAGAUGCAUUUUUUUUUCAAGAAGCAGGAAAAUGUAAGGAAAAUUGAAGGUGUUCUCAAGUGUGUCUGCUGCUGCCUGACACAGGUUAACCCCGUCGCAGGUCACUCCGCUCUGUUAAUUGCAUCCUAACCUUCCUCGGCUCUUCGGCAGCGAAAUCGCAGCAGAGGAGAUGGAGCAGCUUCGUGCGCAUUGCUCAUUUGCGCCAACGUGAAAAGAACUGCCAGGAUGCCCAGGACACCAGCUCCCUGGCUUCUGCGGGGCUUGCACAGUCCUGAAUCAGCCCGAGAGCUGUGGAUCUGCGUCCCCUGGCUGCAUAGCCGACUGCCGGCUCCAUGGAGGGGCCUGUGCCGGAGAACGCACAUGUUGACUUAUUUCUUCAGUCUAGGCCUUUCUUGGCCCCCUUGGUUAUUCAUUCUAGAUGAUACACCUCGUAUUUCAGUUCAAAUGUCUUACGGAAGAGGCAUUGAAGACAGAGUGGAUGCCCGUGUUCUUUGGCAUUCCUGUGGGUGUGGACAUUCCAGUCACAG